rnacentral:rRNA from 1 species
UACGUAGGGGGCAAGCGUUGUCCGGAAUCAUUGGGCGUAAAGAGCGCGUCGGCGGCCCUGUAAGUCCGCUGUGAAAGUCAAGGGCUCAACCCUUGGAUGCCGGUGGAUACUGCAGGGCUAGAGUCCGGAAGAGGCGAGUGGAAUUCCUGGUGUAGCGGUGAAAUGCGCAGAUAUCAGGAGGAACACCGAUGGCGAAGGCAGCUCGCUGGGACGGUACUGACGCUGAGGCGCGAAAGCGUGGGGAGCAAACAGG